CAAGAUAAUGGACUAGAAGUCUCCACCGAUCACCGCCCCCCCUCCACAAGGAUACCAAUUCAAGAACUAUUUACAUGAAAAAAGAACCUCUUUAAGAGCUUGAAAUCUGGCGAGAACUCACAGGAUCUGGUUUUUACUUCGUUUCACUGAAUGAGGCACUGAAGAGGUAUGUCCCAAGGAGUUCAAUAGCAGGGUCGUAUGGUAUCUCUGUGUUUAAUCUUCUGUAGAACGGCCAAGUUGUUUACAAGGUGGCUGCACCUUUCUACAUUCCUUCCAAUAAUGGAGUCAAAUGGAAAUCAAGACAAGAAUUCCAGUGUGAAUACCAGGGGAGCAGUAUGUUUGGAUUUCCAAAACAAGGGGCCAGAAGAAGAAUAUCAGGUGCAAAGCAGGAGAUAAGGAGUCCAGGAAAGUAGAAAAGUGGAAGCAGAGAGCAAGAUGGAAUGAAACAGAAGAUUCAGGUCUAAGAUCUGAAGCAACAAAUGAAUUGUGCCAGCUGCUGAUGCUUUGUGAAUGCUCCCCACAAGCAGUAGGGGCGCUGGGUCAUUCUGGAGGGGACUAGAGUGGGACAGAAAGCAGAGAAGACCGAGAAUAAAGGUUACGUGGGCAAGACUACAGGAGAAGCAGCGGGAGGAAGAACAGACGGGCUGGACUGAAAACGGAAUUGGGUAAACCACAUUGGACACUACCCUAAGGCAAUGUUUCAGGUGUGUGGUCAAAAACAUACAAAAGUACACUAAUAUUUUUUAUACUUUGUCAACGUGUUACACUUAGGAAGUGUAACAUUAAAAAAAAAACCUUUUACUAAUUUAAUUUUAGAGAAAGAAACUUAUAGGAGGAGGAAAAUGUCUAGCUUCAGUUGGAAACAGCAAGGAACUUAAAAACAUUAAAAAUAAAAUCAAAUAAAGAAUAUCACAAGUCAAUAAAUGGCUUACAGCAACAACAGAGAAAGAGGAGUAUGAGGAGUAUGGUUCUGAGGG